GAGGACGACGCUGGCGGCGUGGAUUAGGCAUGCAAGUCGAACGGUAUCAUCCUUUCGGGGGUGAGAGAGUGGCGAACUGGUGAGUAACGACGUAGGUUAUCCUACCCUCGAAGACGGGGACAACCCAGGGAAACUUGGGCUAAUACCGGAUGUGAGCAACUUUUAGUUGUUUGAAAGGUGGCGUAAGCUGUCGCUUGGGGAUGAGCCUGCGUCCUAUUAGUUAGUUGGUGAGGUAACGGCUCACCUAGGCAAUGAUAGGUAGGCGGCCUUAACGGGUGGUCGCCCACACUGGGAUUGAGAUACGGCCCAGACUCCUACGGGAGGCAGCAGUCGAGAAUAGUCUACAAUGGUCGGAAGACUGAUAGUGCGACGCCGCGUGAACGAUGAAUCCCUUCGGGGUGUAAAGUUCUUUUAUAUGUGAGCAGUGCUUCUUAUAUUAACAGUAUGGGGAGAGAGAUAUUAGCAUAUGAAUAAGCAACGGCUAACUCCGUG
rnacentral:rRNA from 1 species